rnacentral:rRNA from 1 species
GAUGAACGCUGGCGGCGUGCUUAACACAUGCAAGUCGAACGGUGAAGGCGGAGCUUGCUCUGCUGGAUCAGUGGCGAACGGGUGAGUAACACGUGAGCAAUCUGCCCCUGACUCUGGGAUAAGCGCUGGAAACGGCGUCUAAUACUGGAUACGAGCUGCGAAGGCAUCUUCAGCAGCUGGAAAGAAUUUCGGUCAGGGAUGAGCUCGCGGCCUAUCAGCUUGUUGGUGAGGUAAUGGCUCACCAAGGCGUCGACGGGUAGCCGGCCUGAGAGGGUGACCGGCCACACUGGGACUGAGACACGGACCAGACUCCUACGGGAGGCAGCAGUGGGGAAUAUUGCACAAUGGGCGAAAGCCUGAUGCAGCAACGCCGCGUGAGGGACGACGGCCUUCGGGUUGUAAACCUCUUUUAGCAGGGAAGAAGCGAAAGUGACGGUACCUGCAGAAAAAGCGCCGGCUAACUACGUG